ACUCAGACUUCUAGAAACAAAACCUUAUGGUAGGGACUGUGGGUGGGAUCCAGAGAAGUUCUGCAAGAUACAGACAACUAGAUUCCACAAGGCUGCUGCUACUUGGUACCACAAGAUUGAAGCCACUGGUGAAUCCCAAUUGUAAGGUCUGGGACCUGGGAGCCUAGUUUCAUUUUGUAAACAUACUGAGAAGCCCAGGUGUUACAUAUAAGCUCUAAAUUAGAAGAAUGCUACAGAAUGUGGAAGUAAGCACAGGGUGGAACUGCAUACAGUUAAACCCUCACAGAAGAAAAUGGAAUAUGUGUCUAAUAAAUUUUGAAGAGGACGGUGACAUCAUGGAUGAUGACUCAUACAUGAAUUGGAUUUGAGUGAAGCAGAGUUGCACAAAGUUGUCAG